UUUAAAAAAAUGCGGGAAUCGAACCUGGGCCGCCCGCGUGGCAGGCGAGCAUUCUACCACUGAACCACCGAUGCUUUAA
rnacentral:tRNA from 1 species